GCGCUAUCGGAGCGGCCGAUGGCAGAUUAGCUUGUUGGUGAGGUAAAGGCUCACCAAGGCUACGAUCUGUAGCUGGUCUGAGAGGACGACCAGCCACACUGGGACUGAGACACGGCCCAG
rnacentral:rRNA from 1 species